UGGGAAUGCAGCUCAGAAUGGGUGGUAAAUUUCAUCUAAAGCUAAAUACUGGCUGGAGACCGAUAGCGCACAAGUAGAGUGAUCGAAAGAUGAAAAGCACUUUGGAAAGAGAGUCAAAAAGUACGUGAAAUUGUUGAAAGGGAAGCGCUUGCAACCAGACCUGUCCGCAGGUGAUCAGCCGCCGUUCUCGGUGGUGCACUCGCCUGCGAUCAGGCCAGCAUCGGUUCGGGCGGUCGGAUAAAGGCCUUGGGAAUGUAGCUCCUCUCGGGGAGUCUUAUAGCCCUCGGUGCAAUGCGGCCAGCCCGGACCGAGGACCGCGCUUCGGCUAGGAUGCUGGCGUAAUGGUUGUAAGCGACCCGUCUUGAAACACGGACCAAGGAGUCUAACAUCUAUGCGAGUGUUUGGGUGUCAAACCCAUGCGCGGAAUGAAAGUGAACGGAGGUGAGAACCCUUUAGGGCGCAUCAUCGACCGAUCCAGAUGUCUUCGGAUGGAUUUGAGUAUGAGCAUAGCUGUUGGGACCCGAAAGAUGGUGAACUAUGCCUGAAUAGGGUGAAGCCAGAGGAAACUCUGGUGGAGGCUCGCAGCGGU
rnacentral:rRNA from 1 species